AAUGCAAAAACCCAGAGAGCUUCUUCAUAUCUGAGCGCAGGGAUGAUGACAGAGAACAGCGGACUCAUCUCAACAUGAUGGACUGUAGGAUGAGACUGCUGUUUUUAACUCUCUGCUUUGCAGGUGUUAAUGGUCAGACUCUGACAGAAUCUGAACCAGCAGUUAAACAACCUGGAGAGUCUCACAGAUUGACCUGCACAACAUCUGGAAUCUCAUUCAGCAGCUACGGUAUGGCCUGGAUCAGACAGGCUCCUGGAAAAGGACUGGAGUGGAUUGCUUAUAUCAGCAGUGGCAGUGGUAGCAUCUACUAUUCUCAGUCAGUCAGAGGCCGUUUUACCAUCUCCAGAGACAAUGGCAGAGAGCAGCUGUAUCUGCAGAUGAACAGUCUGAGGACUGAAGAUUCUGCUGUUUAUUAUUGUGCCCGAAGGCCACAGUGA